rnacentral:rRNA from 2 species
UUAAGCGACUAAGCGUACACGGUGGAUGCCCUGGCAGUCAGAGGCGAUGAAGGACGUGCUAAUCUGCGAAAAGCGUCGGUAAGGUGAUAUGAACCGUUAUAGCCGGCGAUGUCCGAAUGGGGAAACCCAGUGUGAUUCGUCACACUAUCGUUAACUGAAUACAUAGGUUAACGAGGCGAACCGGGGGAACUGAAACAUCUAAGUACCCCGAGGAAAAGAAAUCAACCGAGAUUCCCCCAGUAGCGGCGAGCGAACGGGGAGCAGCCCAGAGUCUGAAUCAGCUUGUGUGUUAGUGGAACGGUCUGGAAAGUCCGACGGUACAGGGUGAUAGUCCCGUACACCAAAAUGCACAGGUUGUGAACUCGAAGAGUAGGGCGGGACACGUGGUAUCCUGUCUGAAUAUGGGGGGACCAUCCUCCAAGGCUAAAUACUCCUGACUGACCGAUAGUGAACCAGUACCGUGAGGGAAAGGCGAAAAGAACCCCGGCGAGGGGAGUGAAAAAGAACCUGAAACCGUGUACGUACAAGCAGUGGGAGCACCUUCGUGGUGUGACUGCGUACCUUUUGUAUAAUGGGUCAGCGACUUAUAUUCUGUAGCAAGGUUAACCGUAUAGGGGAGCCGCAGGGAAACCGAGUCUUAACUGGGCGUUAAGUUGCAGGGUAUAGACCCGAAACCCGGUGAUCUAGCCAUGGGCAGGUUGAAGGUUGGGUAACACUAACUGGAGGACCGAACCGACUAAUGUUGAAAAAUUAGCGGAUGACUUGUGGCUGGGGGUGAAAGGCCAAUCAAACCGGGAGAUAGCUGGUUCUCCCCGAAAGCUAUUUAGGUAGCGCCUCGUGAAUUCAUCUUCGGGGGUAGAGCACUGUUUCGGCUAGGGGGUCAUCCCGACUUACCAACCCGAUGCAAACUACGAAUACCGAAGAAUGUUAUCACGGGAGACACACGGCGGGUGCUAACGUCCGUCGUGAAGAGGGAAACAACCCAGACCGCCAGCUAAGGUCCCAAAGUCAUGGUUAAGUGGGAAACGAUGUGGGAAGGCACAGACAGCCAGGAUGUUGGCUUAGAAGCAGCCAUCAUUUAAAGAAAGCGUAAUAGCUCACUGGUCGAGUCGGCCUGCGCGGAAGAUGUAACGGGGCUAAACCAUGCACCGAAGCUGCGGCAGCGACACUAUGUGUUGUUGGGUAGGGGAGCGUUCUGUAAGCCUGCGAAGGUGACCUGUGAGGGUUGCUGGAGGUAUCAGAAGUGCGAAUGCUGACAUAAGUAACGAUAAAGCGGGUGAAAAGCCCGCUCGCCGGAAGACCAAGGGUUCCUGUCCAACGUUAAUCGGGGCAGGGUGAGUCGACCCCUAAGGCGAGGCCGAAAGGCGUAGUCGAUGGGAAACAGGUUAAUAUUCCUGUACUUGGUGUUACUGCGAAGGGGGGACGGAGAAGGCUAUGUUAGCCGGGCGACGGUUGUCCCGGUUUAAGCAUGUAGGCUGGUUAUCCAGGCAAAUCCGGAUAAUCAAGGCUGAGGUGUGAUGACGAGGUACUACGGUGCUGAAGUAACAAAUGCCCUGCUUCCAGGAAAAGCCUCUAAGCAUCAGGUAACAUCAAAUCGUACCCCAAACCGACACAGGUGGUCAGGUAGAGAAUACCAAGGCGCUUGAGAGAACUCGGGUGAAGGAACUAGGCAAAAUGGUGCCGUAACUUCGGGAGAAGGCACGCUGGUGUGUAGGUGAAGUCCCUGCGGAUGGAGCUGAGACCAGUCGAAGAUACCAGCUGGCUGCAACUGUUUAUUAAAAACACAGCACUGUGCAAACACGAAAGUGGACGUAUACGGUGUGACGCCUGCCCGGUGCCGGAAGGUUAAUUGAUGGGGUUAUCCGUAAGGAGAAGCUCUUGAUCGAAGCCCCGGUAAACGGCGGCCGUAACUAUAACGGUCCUAAGGUAGCGAAAUUCCUUGUCGGGUAAGUUCCGACCUGCACGAAUGGCGUAAUGAUGGCCAGGCUGUCUCCACCCGAGACUCAGUGAAAUUGAACUCGCUGUGAAGAUGCAGUGUACCCGCGGCAAGACGGAAAGACCCCGUGAACCUUUACUAUAGCUUGACACUGAACAUUGAGCCUUGAUGUGUAGGAUAGGUGGGAGGCUUUGAAGCGUGGACGCCAGUCUGCGUGGAGCCAACCUUGAAAUACCACCCUUUAAUGUUUGAUGUUCUAACGUUGGCCCCUUAUCGGGGUUGCGGACAGUGUCUGGUGGGUAGUUUGACUGGGGCGGUCUCCUCCCAAAGCGUAACGGAGGAGCACGAAGGUUAGCUAAUCCUGGUCGGACAUCAGGAGGUUAGUGCAAUGGCAUAAGCUAGCUUGACUGCGAGCGUGACGGCGCGAGCAGGUGCGAAAGCAGGUCAUAGUGAUCCGGUGGUUCUGAAUGGAAGGGCCAUCGCUCAACGGAUAAAAGGUACUCCGGGGAUAACAGGCUGAUACCGCCCAAGAGUUCAUAUCGACGGCGGUGUUUGGCACCUCGAUGUCGGCUCAUCACAUCCUGGGGCUGAAGUAGGUCCCAAGGGUAUGGCUGUUCGCCAUUUAAAGUGGUACGCGAGCUGGGUUUAGAACGUCGUGAGACAGUUCGGUCCCUAUCUGCCGUGGGCGCUGGAGAAUUGAGGGGGGCUGCUCCUAGUACGAGAGGACCGGAGUGGACGCAUCACUGGUGUUCGGGUUGUCAUGCCAAUGGCACUGCCCGGUAGCUAAAUGCGGAAGAGAUAAGUGCUGAAAGCAUCUAAGCACGAAACUUGCCCCGAGAUGAGUUCUCCCUGAGACUUUAAGUCUCCUGAAGGAACGUUGAAGACGACGACGUUGAUAGGCCGGGUGUGUAAGCGCAGCGAUGCGUUGAGCUAACCGGUACUAAUGAACCGUGAGGCUUAACCUU